UGCUGUGUUGUGCUGUGCUGACAAAUGCUCACACCUGGAAAUGAGCUGGAUUUUUCUUAUGAACUCUGUGGAAGCUUGUUACCAUGUUAAAUGCCAUGCUUUCAUUAAAUACACACCUGAAGGGUUAUCUCCACUAAUACUGAUAGUCAAACACUUCAAAGGAAUGCAUGUUCACUGGGAUGUUCCUCUGGGCCUGAGACUCCUUCCCUCUUUUGUGGCUUCCUGGCAUAAGUGGCCACAGCAAACCACUGUUAAAGAUCCAGGAGUAAUUCUUCACCACAGGCCUAACGGUAACCUCAGUGACAGCUGCUGA
rnacentral:lncRNA from 1 species